rnacentral:piRNA from 5 species
UUUGGCUAAGAUCAAGUGUAGUAUCUGU